UCGCCUGUUUAUCAAAAACAUUUCUAAAUUAAACUUACAUUUAGUAAAACCUGCUCACUGCUUUUUAAUAAAUAGCCGCGGUCACCCGUGCUAAGGUAGCAUAAUCAUUUGCCUCUUAAUUAGAGGCUAGAAUGAAUGGUUUAACAUGCCUGUUCUUUUAUUAUUUUAUUUUCUUUAAAUUCUACUGUAAGUAAGAAACCUUACAUAAAAGAGGGGGACGACAAGACCCUGUCGAACUUAACUUAAAGUUAAGCUGGGGCGGCAAAAAACCAAAUCUUUUUUUUAUCUUCUUUCCUAACCCUUAUCAAGGACUAUUAAGUUACCGCAGGGAUAACAGCAUAAUUUAUUCUCAAAGACCUUAUUCAAGAAUAAGAUUGUGACCUCGAUGUUGAAUUAAUAUCCUUUUAGGAGCAAAAUUCUAAAAAGAAAGUCUGUUCGACUUUUAAAUAAUUACAUGAUCUGAGUUC
rnacentral:rRNA from 1 species